rnacentral:rRNA from 1 species
GCUUAGCAUGAAGUGAAGCACAUACACCUGCUGAGUUUAAGCAUAUAAGUAAGUGGUGGAAAUUAAACCAAAUGGGAUAUCUUUAGUAAUUACGACUGAACAAGGAUAUGCUUAGCUUGACAAAUGGAGCUAUUGGCUUUGAAUUGUAUUGUGGAAAUGUAUUACCAACAGAGGUGCAGGUGCCAGCAUAUUGAAAUAAAGCGUCAAUGAGGGUGAGAAUCCUGUUUGUCAUGUGCAGCCCUUUGUGCACGGUGUAUAUUUGCUGAGUCACACUCCUUGGCAUUGGAAUGCAAAGUGGGUGGUAAGUUUCAUGUAAAGGUAAACAUGCAAUUGAGACUGAUAGCACACAAGUACCAUGAGGGAAAUAUGAAAAGGACUUUGAAAAGAGAAUUAAAUGAGUUUGUAUUUGCUGAACACAAAGUAAACAGACUUGAUUUGCUUGGUGGGAGUGUUGCACUUGCUUGACAAGAGCUUUGGGCUGUGGGUGUAAUGAUUCUUUCUUUGCAUGCCAGUUUCUAUUUGUACAUCUGAUUACCUUUGCACAUGAAUGAUAAGUCUCCUGUGGGGGGUGGAUUGCAUGUGCAUGUAAUGAUUUGUGUUUUGAUACAUGUGUCUGGUGUAUGUGUGUGUGUUCCUGUGCUUGGGGAUGCUUCCUUCCUUGGACUUACAAGCCCUGACACACACAUGCUGGCAAAAUGCUUCUGCUUGACCCGUCUUGAAACACGGACCAAGGAGUCUAACAGAUGUGCAAAGUUUGAAGGUGGUAUACCUUUGUGUGCAAUGAAAGUGUCAGCUGGGAUAUGUGCACCAGCACCCAAUUAAUUAGCGGACAGAGGUUUGAGUUGGAGCAUAUCUAUUAGGACCCGAAAGAUGGUGAAAUAUGCCUGAACAGAAUGAAUUCAGAGGAAACUCUGAUGGAGGUUCGUAUCGAUACUGACGUGCAAAUCGUUC